GACGAACGCUGGCGGCGUGCUUAACACAUGCAAGUCGAGCGGUAAGGCCCUUUCGGGGGUACACGAGCGGCGAACGGGUGAGUAACACGUGGGUGACCUGCCUUUAGCUCUGGGAUAAGCCUGGGAAACCGGGUCUAAUACCGGAUAUGACUCCGCGGCGCAUGUUGUGGGGUGGAAAGCCUUGUGCGGCUGGAGAUGGGCCCGCGGCCUAUCAGCUUGUUGGUGGGGUGANGGCCUACCAAGGCGACGACGGGUAGCCGGCCUGAGAGGGCGACCGGCCACACUGGGACUGAGACACGGCCCAGACUCCUACGGGAGGCAGCAGUGGGGAAUCUUGCGCAAUGGGCGAAAGCCUGACGCAGCGACGCCGCGUGAGGGAUGACGGCCU
rnacentral:rRNA from 1 species